rnacentral:pre_miRNA from 1 species
CCGCUCUGCUGUGGCCUAUGGCUUUUCAUUCCUAUGUGAUUGCUGCUCCGAACUCAUGUAGGGCUAAAAGCCAUGGGCUACAGUGAGGGGC